rnacentral:rRNA from 1 species
UAGUCCACGCCCUAAACGAUGCUAACUCGAUAUUUGGACUAUAAGUCUGAGUGUCUAAGGGAAACCAAUAAGUUAGCCACCUGGGGAGUACGUUCGCAAGAAUGAAACUCAAAGGAAUUGACGGGGUCCGCACAAGCGGUGGAGCAUGUGGUUUAAUUCGAUGAUACGCGAGGAACCUUACCUAGGCUAUAAUGUGAGCGCUAUCCGGUGAAAGCCGGAGUUCCUUCGGGACGUGAAACAGGUGCUGCAUGGUUGUCGUCAACUCGUGCCGUGAGGUGUUGGCUUAAGUGCCGCAACGAGCGCAACCCCUAUUCGUUAGUUGCCAGCGAGUAAUGUCGGGGACUCUAACAAGACUGCCGGCGUAAGCCGAGAGGAAGGUGGGGAGGACGUCAAAUCAUCAUGGCCUUUAUGCCUAGGGGCUACACACGUGCUACAAUGGGACGGUACAGAGGGGUCGCUAACCCGCGAGGGGGUGCGUAAUCUCAGAAAGCCGUUCCCAGUUCGGGAUCGGGAGUCUGGCAACUCGAC